rnacentral:rRNA from 1 species
AGAGUUUGAUCCUGGCUCAGGAUGAACGCUAGCGACAGGCUUAACACAUGCAAGUCGAGGGGCAGCGGUGGUGAAGGCUUGCCUUUACCAGCCGGCGACCGGCGCACGGGUGAGUAACACGUAUGCAACCUGCCUGCCACAGCCGGAUAAUCGGGAGAAAUUCCGUCUAAUACGGCAUAAUGCACCUAUGGGACAUCCUGUUGGUGCCAAAGGUUGAUUCCGGUGGCGGAUGGGCAUGCGUCGCAUUAGUUAGUUGGCGGUGUAACGGACCACCAAGACGACGAUGCGUAGGGGUUCUGAGAGGAAGGUCCCCCACACUGGUACUGAGACACGGACCAGACUCCUACGGGAGGCAGCAGUGAGGAAUAUUGGUCAAUGGGCGGGAGCCUGAACCAGCCAAGUCGCGUGAGGGAUGACGGCCCUAUGGGUUGUAAACCUCUUUUGCCGGGGAGCAAAGUGCCGCACGUGUGCGGUUUGGAGAGUACCCGGAGAAAAAGCAUCGGCUAACUCCGUGCCAGCAGCCGCGGUAAUACGGAGGAUGCGAGCGUUAUCCGGAUUUAUUGGGUUUAAAGGGUGCGUAGGCGGACGCUUAAGUCAGCGGUAAAAUUGCGGGGCUCAACCUCGUCGAGCCGUUGAAACUGGGUGCCUUGAGUGGGCGAGAAGUACGCGGAAUGCGUGGUGUAGCGGUGAAAUGCAUAGAUAUCACGCAGAACUCCGAUUGCGAAGGCAGCGUACCGGCGCCCAACUGACGCUGAAGCACGAAGGCGUGGGUAUCGAACAGGAUUAGAUACCCUGGUAGUCCACGCAGUAAACGAUGAAUGCUAGUUGUCCGGGGCGAUUGAGUUCUGGGUGACACAGCGAAAGCGUUAAGCAUUCCACCUGGGGGGUACGCCGGCAACGGUGAAACUCAAAGGAAUUGACGGGGGCCCGCACAAGCGGAGGAACAUGUGGUUUAAUUCGAUGAUACGCGAGGAACCUUACCCGGGCUCAAACGCAGGAGGGAUGUUUUUGAAAGGAGGCAGCCAGCAAUGGUCUCCUGCGAGGUGCUGCAUGGUUGUCGUCAGCUCGUGCCGUGAGGUGUCGGCUUAAGUGCCAUAACGAGCGCAACCCCUACCUACAGUUGCCAUCGCGUGAUGGCGGGCACUCUGUGGGGACUGCCUGCGCAAGCAGUGAGGAAGGCGGGGAUGACGUCAAAUCAGCACGGCCCUUACGUCCGGGGCGACACACGUGUUACAAUGGCAGGUACAGCGGGAAGCCACCCGGCGACGGGGCGCGGAACCCGAAAACCUGUCUCAGUUCGGAUUGGAGUCUGCAACCCGACUCCAUGAAGCUGGAUUCGCUAGUAAUCGCGCAUCAGCCACGGCGCGGUGAAUACGUUCCCGGGCCUUGCACACAACGCCCGUCA